UACGUAGGGGGCAAGCGUUGUCCGGAAUCAUUGGGCGUAAAGCGCGUGUAGGCGGCCCGAUAAGUCCGCUGUGAAAGUCCAGGGCUCAACCCUGGAAUGCCGGUGGAUACUGUCGGGCUCGAGUCCGGAAGAGGCGAGUGGAAUUCCUGGUGUAGCGGUGAAAUGCGCAGAUAUCAGGAGGAACACCAAUGGCGAAGGCAGCUCGCUGGGACGGUACUGACGCUGAGACGCGAAAGCGUGGGGAUCAAACAGG
rnacentral:rRNA from 1 species